CCUACGGGGGGCAGCAGUGAGGAAUAUUGGUCAAUGGACGCAAGUCUGAACCAGCCAUGCCGCGUGCAGGAAGACGGCUCUAUGAGUUGUAAACUGCUUUUGUACGAGGGUAAACGCAGAUACGCGUAUCUGUCUGAAAGUAUCGUACGAAUAAGGAUCGGCUAACUCCGUGCCAGCAGCCGCGGUAAUACGGAGAAUUCAAGCGUUAUCCGGAUUUAUUGGGUUUAAAGGGUGCGUAGGCGGUCGGAUAAGUUAGAUGUGAAAUCCCGAGGCUCAACUUCGGAAUUGCCUCUGAUACUGUUAGGCUAGAGAGUAGUUGCGGUAGGCGGAAUGUAUGGUGUAGCGGUGAAAUGCUUAGAGAUCAUACAGAACACCGAUUGCGAAGGCAGCUUACCAAGCUACGUCUGACGUUGAGGCACGAAAGCGUGGGGAGCAAACAGGAUUAGAUACCCGGGUAGUC
rnacentral:rRNA from 1 species